rnacentral:rRNA from 1 species
UAGAGUUUGAUCCUGGCUCAGGAUGAACGCUGGCGGCGUGCCUAAUACAUGCAAGUCGAGCGAAUGGAUUAAGAGCUUGCUCUUAUGAAGUUAGCGGCGGACGGGUGAGUAACACGUGGGUAACCUGCCCAUAAGACUGGGAUAACUCCGGGAAACCGGGGCUAAUACCGGAUAACAUUUUGAACGCAUGGUUGAAAUUGAAAGGCGGCUUCGGCUGUCACUUAUGGAUGGACCCGCGUCGCAUUAGCUAGUUGGUGAGGUAACGGCUCACCAAGGCAACGAUGCGUAGCCGACCUGAGAGGGUGAUCGGCCACACUGGGACUGAGACACGGCCCAGACUCCUACGGGAGGCAGCAGUAGGGAAUCUUCCGCAAUGGACGAAAGUCUGACGGAGCAACGCCGCGUGAGUGAUGAAGGCUUUCGGGUCGUAAAACUCUGUUGUUAGGGAAGAACAAGUGCUAGUUGUGGCACCUUGACGGUACCUAACCAGAAAGCCACGGCUAACUACGUGCCAGCAGCCGCGGUAAUACGUAGGUGGCAAGCGUUAUCCGGAAUUAUUGGGCGUAAAGCGCGCGCAGGUGGUUUCUUAAGUCUGAUGUGAAAGCCCACGGCUCAACCGUGGAGGGUCAUGAAACUGGGAGACUUGAGUGCAGAAGAGGAAAGUGGAAUCCAUGGUAGCGAAUGCGUAGAGAUAUGGAGGAACACCAGUGGCGAAGGCGACUUC